UGCGCUAUCAAAUUAGCCGGGGUCGGAUUAGCUAGAUUGUGAGGUAAUGGCUCACCANGGCGACGAUCCGUAACUGGUCUGAGAGGAUGAUCAGUCACACUGGAACUGAGACACGGUCCAGACUCCUACGGGAGGCAGCAGUGGGGAAUAUUGGACAAUGGGCGAAAGCCUGAUCCAGCCAUGCCGCGUGUGUGAAGAAGGUCUUCGGAUUGUAAAGCACUUUAAGUUNGGAGGAAGGGUUGUAGAUUAAUACUCUGCAAUUUUGACGUUACCGACAGAAUAAGCACCGGCUAACUCUGUGCCAGCAGCCGCGGUAAUACAGAGGGUGCAAGCGUUAAUCGGAAUUACUGGGCGUAAAGCGCGCGUAGGUGGUUUGUUAAGUUGGAUGUGAAAUCCCCGGGCUCAACCUGGGAACUGCAUCCANAACUGGCAAGCUAGAGUAUGGUAGAGGGUGGUGGAAUUUCCUGUGUAGCGGUGAAAUGCGUANAUAUAGGAAGGAACACCAGUGG
rnacentral:rRNA from 1 species